rnacentral:rRNA from 1 species
CGAUUGAGUUUGAUCCUGGCUCAGGAUGAACGCUGGCGGCGUGCUUAACACAUGCAAGUCGAACGGAGCACCCCUGAAGGAGUUUUCGGACAACGGAUGGGAAUGCUUAGUGGCGGACUGGUGAGUAACGCGUGAGGAACCUGCCUUCCAGAGGGGGACAACAGUUGGAAACGACUGCUAAUACCGCAUGAUGCGUUGGAGCCGCAUGACUCCGACGUCAAAGAUUUAUCGCUGGAAGAUGGCCUCGCGUCUGAUUAGCUGGUUGGUGAGGUAACGGCCCACCAAGGCGACGAUCAGUAGCCGGACUGAGAGGUUGGCCGGCCACAUUGGGACUGAGAUACGGCCCAGACUCCUACGGGAGGCAGCAGUGGGGAAUAUUGGGCAAUGGACGCAAGUCUGACCCAGCAACGCCGCGUGAAGGAAGAAGGCUUUCGGGUUGUAAACUUCUUUUAAGGGGGAAGAGCAGAAGACGGUACCCCUUGAAUAAGCCACGGCUAACUACGUGCCAGCAGCCGCGGUAAUACGUAGGUGGCAAGCGUUGUCCGGAUUUACUGGGCGUAAAGCGAGUGCAGGCGGUUCAAUAAGUCUGAUGUGAAAGCC